rnacentral:rRNA from 1 species
CCUACGGGUGGCUGCAGUGGGGAAUAUUGGACAAUGGGCGCAAGCCUGACCCAGCGACGCCGCGUGAAGGAAGAAGGAUUUCGGGAUGUAAACUUCUUUUAGCAGGGACGAAGCAAGUGACGGUACCUGAGGAAUAAGCCACGGCUAACUACGUGCCAGCAGCCGCGGUAAUACGUAGGUGGCAAGCGUUAUCCGGAUUUACUGGGUGUAAAGGGCGCGUAGGCGGGAAAGCAAGUCAGAGGUGAAAGGCAUGGGCUCAACCUGUGGCCUGCAUUUGAAACUGUUUGUCUGGAGUACUGGAGAGGCAGACGGAAUUCCUAGUGUAGCGGUGAAAUGCGUAGAUAUUAGGAGGAACACCAGUGGCGAAGGCGGUCUGCUGGACAGCAACUGACGCUGAGGCGCGAAAGCGUGGGGAGCAAACAGGAUUAGAUACCCGGGUAGUC